rnacentral:rRNA from 1 species
GACGAACGCUGGCGGCGUGCUUAACACAUGCAAGUCGAACGGAAAGGCCCUGCUUUUGUGGGGUGCUCGAGUGGCGAACGGGUGAGUAACACGUGAGUAACCUGCCCUUGACUUUGGGAUAACUUCAGGAGACUGGGGCUAAUACCGGAUAUGAGCUCCUGCUGCAUGGUGGGGGUUGGAAAGUUUCGGCUGUUGGGGAUGGACUCGCGGCUUAUCAGCUUGUUGGUGGGGUAGUUGCUUACCAAGGCUUUGACGGGUAGCCGGCCUGAGAGGGUGACCGGGCACAUUGGGACUGAGAGACGGACCAGAAUACAACGGGAGGCAGCAGUGGGGAAUAUUGCACAAUGGGCGGAAGCCUGAUGAAGCAACGCCGCGUGCGGGAUGACGGCCUUCGGGUUGUAAACAGCUUUAGACUGUGACGAAGCGUGAGUGACGGUAAUGGGUAAAGAAGCACCGGCUAACUACGUG